UAGGGAAUCUUCGGCAAUGGGGGCAACCCUGACCGAGCAACGCCGCGUGAGUGAAGAAGGUUUUCGGAUCGUAAAGCUCUGUUGUAAGAGAAGAACGUGUGUGAGAGUGGAAAGUUCACACAGUGACGGUAACUUACCAGAAAGGGACGGCUAACUACGUGCCAGCAGCCGCGGUAAUACGUAGGUCCCGAGCGUUGUCCGGAUUUAUUGGGCGUAAAGCGAGCGCAGGCGGUUUAAUAAGUCUGAAGUUAAAGGCAGUGGCUUAGCCAUUGUUCGCUUUGGAAACUGUUAAGCUUGAGUGCAGAAGAGGAGAGUGGAAUUCCAUGUGUAGCGGUGAAAUGCGUAGAUAUAUGGAAGAACACCGGUGGCGAAAGCGGCUCUCUGGUCUGUAACUGACGCUGAGGCUCGAAAGCGUAGGGAGCAAACAGG
rnacentral:rRNA from 1 species